rnacentral:rRNA from 1 species
UAGGCAAUCUUCCGCAAUGGACGCAAGUCUGACGGAGCAACGCCGCGUGAGUGAAGAAGGAUUUCGGUUCGUAAAACUCUGUUGUUAGAGAAGAACAGCGCAUAGAGUAACUGUUAUGCGUGUGACGGUAUCUAACCAGAAAGCCACGGCUAACUACGUGCCAGCAGCCGCGGUAAUACGUAGGUGGCAAGCGUUGUCCGGAUUUAUUGGGCGUAAAGCGAGCGCAGGCGGUCAAUUAAGUCUGAUGUGAAAGCCCCCGGCUCAACCGGGGAGGGUCAUUGGAAACUGGUUGACUUGAGUGCAGAAGAGGAGAGUGGAAUUCCAUGUGUAGCGGUGAAAUGCGUAGAUAUAUGGAGGAACACCAGUGGCGAAGGCGACUCUCUGGUCUGUAACUGACGCUGAGGUUCGAAAGCGUGGGUAGCAAACAGG